rnacentral:tRNA from 1 species
UCCCUGGUGGCUCAGAGGGUAAAGCAUCUGCCUGCAAUGUGGGAGACCUGGGUUCGAUCCCUGGGUUGGGAA